rnacentral:rRNA from 1 species
CGUAGGGGCAAGCGUUGUCCGGAAUUAUUGGGGCGUAAAGCGCGCGUAGGCGGCCCUUUAAGUCUCGUGUUUAAACCCGGAGCUCAACUUCGGGUCGCACGGGAAACUGGGGGGCUUGAGUGCAGGAGAGGGAAGCGGAAUUCCACGUGUAGCGGUGAAAUGCGUAGAGAUGUGGAGGAACACCAGUGGCGAAGGCGGCUUCCUGGUCUGUAACUGACGCUGAGGCGCGAAAGCGUGGGGAGCAAACAGGAUU